UGGAAAACGUAGCACUCUGGGAAGUGCAGCAUUUUUAAAAAGGAUUUAUUGCAGAAUUCACCUUGUGGAAAUACUGCUUAUAGGUUUUGUUUUGGCACAGGGUUGCCUUUUGUUUCAGAAAAUUCAAAUUGUUGCAGAAUGGAAGCUCUUUCCUCCUGAGCUCACCUUGUUCAAGCUUUUAACAAAGAAAAGGCAUUAGUGCUGGGAAUAAUAUUUUUGACAUACUGGUUUUUGUAGGCUGGAUUUCUCUGUUUGAUUUUCAUAAGUAGCUUCAGUCUUAAAACAAUAAAGCGGCAUCUAAUGAAAUUUCGUGUAUGUUUAGAGAGUUGACGAAUGGUUUGAUAAGUGUGAUGAUGGUACUGGUGUUAAAAAUGAGUUAGGUAAAGGAGAAGUACAUUCACAUCACAGACACUUUUGCAUGUAUCACUUAAGCUGGUUUUGGGAAGGGGCAGAGGAAAAGGGGAGCAGUUCUUAAUUUUAGCAGAUCAAAUGGCUGUUAACCUUUAUUUAGAGUGUCUUUUAGCACUCAUUUUCUGUCCUGAAUGAUUUUCAUAUCCUGAAACAACUUUCUCCCUGAGGUUGCUGUGUUGCCAUUUCGCCUAAAUCACUUUAGAUAGUAGGUGGAAAAUGUAAUUCUUCAAUCAGAGUAUAGGGUUUCUUCCAUGGUAGCAAAAGGAGCUGUAAAGAGAAACUGGAAAGAGGAAAUGAAGAGUACAGAGGAAAAGGUAAAAUAAUGCAGCCAGCCUUUGAAAAAAAAAUCAAGGAGAGACUGCAAAUGUUCUUUCUUGUCAAAAAAGAAGUGUAUGUAUGAAAUACAAAAAAAAAAAAAACACAAACUUUUUUUUUCCCCCCUGAACCUUCAUGAGAAAGUGCAUGUGCCAGUGUAUCAACAAUCCUCCUAAUUAGUUUUAAAUGAAAAUAUACUUCUUGCUGCUUUAUACUGACAUGUCAUUGCAGGGUUUAAUUGGAAAUUUGUAGCUGGCUAAAAAAGAAUUGAUCUGUUGUUUCCACAGCUCCCUCUAGGCAGCAGCAGUAAUCCACACAUCAUUUAGGGAAUUCUUACUACAGUCAAACUGAAAGCAGCAUUGUACAUGCAGCACAAAUACAGCCUUGGUGCUUCUUUGUAUUUCAGUGCUGUUGAGUGUGUGUCAGCAGCAAGCCAGGGAGAAAAGAAACAUCCAGAUAACACCUCAGAAUUUGCAGUGAGAAGUUUUUUGUCAAAACUCUUAUUACUUCUUAGGUUUGAUAUGUUGCAGCUUUGAUUUCACAGAAGACAUGGAGUACUGUAACUUUUCUUCACUUUUCAAAGAAAAGCCACUGUAAUUUCAUCUGAAACCAGCAUGGGUUUGGCAGUCCAGCCAGUUAUCAGUCCGAAUGUUUGAAGCAGGGAGUCUCUUCUUGGCAGCAAAGCAGGUCUUAUAAAAAUAUCACAGUAUAUAUGCAAGUAACAAUCCAACAAUUUCAGUCACUUUGUAAUGACUGUUUAGAGAGCUCUUAGAUAUGGGUUGUUAAUGAAGUUGAUGUUCACAACAGAUUUUAUUCCUUAAAAGAGAGAAGAAAAAUAGAGAACCCAAAGGAGACUCCUCAUCGCAGCUGCAUUUUGAGUAGCUGAGAACCAAAAAUGAAUGUGCUCCUUCUCCUCGAAUUCAUUAACAAAGCUUCACAAGCUUCAGUGGAACUGUGGAAGGUGUGCAGCAGUAAGGAUAUGAUGUCAGAUGGCCACGCAGACAAGCCCUGUCAUUGCAUGUAAUCUGGAUGGCACAGAGAAGUCCUCCUCAAAAAGCAGAAUGCAGAUUGCUCCUGUUGCUUGAAGACUUGCUUGUGCCCAGUGGCAGGAACAACAGAAUCUCCUGAGGAAGCAGCUUUUCAACCCAUUGUGCCACCUGCAGCCUCAGAGGGAAGAUGUGCAGUGCUAUGUUUGGGAGCUGUAUGACACCCCAAAUAUAACAGAAGAGUGCACCUUGCUUGGAGACUGUAUUUAUUGUGACCAUGUAAUAUCGUAAUGGAAAUAUGUAAUGGAAAUCCAGGUAAAGUUCUAUCAACUGAAAAAUGUCUUUCUGGCCAGGAACAAAAUGAGAAAGGUGCCAUCUGCAAUAUUCAGAAAAAUACCUUAUUAUCCAAAUACUAAUAAAGAAAAGGCUGCCAUGUCAUCAACCCAGCCUCUAUCACAGUUCUCUCUGACCAUGGCCAUUCUAGUUCAGGGGUAGGUAGCCUGACCCCUUCUGAAAGCAGAAGCAGUGGAAAUGAAGGUGAUGCAACUAGCAGAGAGGAAGAGGAGCAACAGCCACCACAGACAGGCAGUUGAACAGCCCCUUUGUGAGCUUUCUCAGCUUUCCCUCUUGAUUUGUUGCCUUCUGCUUCCUGAACACACUCUUUUGCUCUGCCUAGAUGGCCAGUUCUUCUCCUGAUGUUGAACUAGGGCUUUGACUGUGCUUUUCUUGUACAAAAUGUCUAACUUUUAAGACAUGGCCAGAAAAUACUACCAUCUCUCUGCUGUCUCAGGAUCUGACCACUCAUGACACAACUGAGGUUUAUCUCUCAGGUGAGUCGGUGAUAGGAAAAAACAAAAAGGCAUGUUUAUGUUGGACAGUAUCCUGAGGGACACAGUGCUGUGUGUUACUGCCUUUACCUAUUCUUCUCAUACACAUCUGCAUCCCAAGGAUUUUGCAGCUCCAAAUGAAGAGGUCUGGACUAGUUUCCUCCCUCCCUCUGGACCCCCUUCCCUAGUGGUUUGGGGGUUACAGUGGUAGUGCUGGGUUGAUGGUUGGACUAGAUGAUCUUAAAGGUCUCAUUUAACCUUAAAGAUUCUAUGAUUAUUAUGGACUGUCCCUCUAAUGUCCAAUUAUUUGAGAUAUCUGCUUCAGACAUAUGACUCUCUCUCCCCUCACACCAGUGAAAGGAAAACCUGGUAUUUCCCAGAACUGGUCUCAUGUUUCCAAGGACUCUGCUAAUAACUUUGGUGGACCUUGUGGUAAAGGUAUUGAGGAAGGAUGUGGUCCUGAAAGGUGGGCUUGCAGCCAGAUCUUCCUCUUCACCCCAGAAGACAAUGUAAUUUAGGUGACUGAAGCAGAAGACAGGCUACCAUUCGCACACAGACCUUGGAAUGCAUCUAACUUGAGAUAUGGGGAGCAGAGAGAACCAGAGGUGUGAUGAUGACCUUGCCAUCAAAGAUCUGUUGCAAUUUUGCACAGCAUAGACACAAUUCUUCUUAGCAUAAAUUGAUUAUGAUCAGUACAACUUCUGCUGUAGUUUCCUAUGUUGCUGGUAGCCAUCCUGAUUUUCUAGAGUUGGAAAGAUUCUGGAAGAAAAAUAAUAUCUUUUGCACCUUUUGUUAUUGUAGCUAGCUGCUAGGAUCCUUCUGUGAACAAUGCACUGUUAUUCUGCCAUGAGUAUGCUAUUUUCCUGAAGAGCGGGAAGUAAAAGUUAUUCUUAUAUGGACUGAGCACUGCCAGCACCAUCUGGUUUUGCAGUGGAGGAGGAAGUCCCUCUUUCAGUAUUUCAGUUCUCCUUGUGAUCAGCCGUGUGCUCUACAUUACAUACUACAUGAUUUGAGCCAGGGAACAUGAUUCUUCAAGAAGUUCUUCUUUAAAGCUUUUAUUUUCAUUCUGAAUUAUGAUUACUAAUUUUAGUGAAAAGUUCUUUAGAGAACUAUAAAAUCAGACUGGAAGCAAAUUACAUGAGAAAGUAAGCACCAGAAGUAAGUAUUUUUCUGUCUAAAAUUAUUUUUUCAUCUCUUUCAGUUUCCUUUACAUGUGUGCUACUAGGGUCCUUAUUUUAUAUUACAGUUGUAAAACAGAUUGUAGUACAGAAUCUUUCAAAAGAAAAAUUUGUAGGAACGGUGUAUGUACUGUAAGAUACAAGCAUUUUAUAAAUCAGUUCCCUAAAGCACAGCUUCUGUUGCUGGUAUUAUUUUUGUAAACAUGCUAUUCCCAUCCCUGCUGCUCUGCUCCUAAUGGUUGGAAAGAAAGUGCAACCUAAAAUAGUAUUAUUUUUAAAGAUGUCUCUACUUCAUUUUCUUCUACUUACAGUAGAGUUGGUCCACUGUGCACUCCCAGAAAUGCAUCAUCAUUGAUAACUUCCAGGUAUUUGUUCUUGUGCAGAUAGCUGCAGAAACAAACAAAACACAGUGAUGUGGAAAUAGUUAUCCAUAGGUUACAGGAGAUCUCCAGUUUACUUGCCUGUACAGAUUUACAAAAACAGUAUGUAUAAGGGUCAUCCUACCCCAAUAGCAUACUUAAGCAUAAUCAGUUAGUUCAUUUUCUAUGUACCCAAGAAAUAAAAACAGGUUUUCCAUUUUGAAAAGAAAUUAAAUUCCUCAAUUAAUAAAGUUCCUAAUUUAUUUAAUAUAUUUGUUAUCAUUGUCAUACACAUAAUAAGGACACAUGCAUGCACACUGUAUCUUCAGGUACAUAUGUGUGAUGCUGAGGUGAAAUAGUUUUGAUUUCUUUUAUCAGAAUGAGGUAUGGGGAAUUACAUUGUUACAGAACAGCAGAAUAUUCUGAGUUGGAAGAGACCCACAAGCAUCAUCGAGUCCAGCUCUUAAGUGAAAGGCCCAUACAGGGAUUGAACCCACAACCUUGGCAUUAUUAGUAUCAUGCUUUAACCAACCAAGCUAGCAAAUCAUGAACAAACAGGAAAAUAAUUUCCUCUGUGUUUUGAGUUUGAUAAAAGUUUUAAAUGCUUUAAAAUCCCCAUAGUGAAGUGUAGGUUUCCUUAUACAGGUCAAAAGUUAAGACUGAAGUUGUGUUAUAAGAAGAGCAACAGUGGGAGUAAGGAGAGGAACUUCAAAGUAAAAAAAAUAAUUCUAAAAUCUUGGGAAAACCAUGAACAAUUUCCUGAGUAUCCAGUCCACACUUUCCUGACAUAUGUAAAGCUGCAAAUUUCUCCUAUCAUUACAUGAUUGAGAAAAUACAAUAAGAAGGUGAAGGGAAAUAUGAAAUGGUUGAUUCACGGUUUUGAGAUGUGCGUCUCUCAUUUCUGAUACAAGUGACUGGUUCCUCUGAAUUGCUCCCAGCAGCUUACACCAUUCUCUUUUAUGCAGGUAAGAGAUUUCUGUGAAAGAGCUGCUACAAUUAUCAAUGCUACAAUUACUAAAAUAAACAGUCAUGUAAGAACAACAGCAUAAUUAUCUUCCAAAUUGUCUUAGAAAAGUUACUGAUCAAACGAAAUUUUAUUGUAGCUUCAAGCCAGCAUAAAACUCACACUGAAUUACCUACCAUGAUUUUAUUUCUGAGCUAUAAAUAUACAUACCAAAUGAAAACACACUGGAAAAGACAUUAAGCAACAAUAUUUUUGUUGCUGGCUGAAAUUAACAUCCUCUUUUUACUCCUUGAAAGGAAUUAGAAUAAGAUAUGUGUUUCAGAACCUUGAAUAAGCAUCAAAGGUUUUUUUUUUUCUUCUGAAAGAAGAGAAUGAUCUGCUACUUACAUAGCAUCCAGAUUUGUCCCAUUAAAAGCAUGGCCUUGAAUACUUGUAAAACCGUUAUUGUAGAGUUUGCUGCAAGGAAAAAAAAUAUUAAAUUAGUCUAUUUUGGUUUGCUUCAAUACCUGAAUACCUAACAUCUUACGUAUCAUUUUUUUUGGCAACAGCUCAUUUAUGGAUGGGUUAAUUUUAAUCUCUUGAAGAAGAAGUAGUUAUAGUGCAAGGUCAAACCAAAUGCCCAGAAGCAUUCUUGAAUAUACCUGAUUCAAGGAUACCAUGUGGCAGGUGUGCCAUGUUUUACCUCUUUUUACAGCAAUGAUAGAAUGAGACUAAACCACUGUGCUAUAACUUUCCCACCAUCAAACUACAAGCAAGGAAACAAAAUCCUUGGACGAUUGAUUAAGGAAGGCUAAAGGAACUAACAACUAGCAAAACAGGUCUGAUUUUACUAUCAGGCGUGCCUGAAUUCUUAGAGUUCAUUAUUUUUCUCCCUUAGAGCAAAAUGGUUUUUUUUAGAAUUUCUUUAGAAGUCAUUAAUUUGCAUUCUAGUGCUCUUCCUCCCCCAGUUCAGGUCAUAACUCAUUACAGUAAUUUUCACUCCCUUUCUUGUGGCUCACAUUGACUGUGACUUGCAUAAUUGAACUUUAUUUAACAAUUUUCUUUCAAAUAUGACUCUUCUAAUGUUUGCCAUCCAUUAGUUUUCAUGGUAUGAGUUAUUUAGGUUGCAAAAAGAGUUAUACACAGUUCUAACCAUGCUGUAGCUUUACAGGGGGAAAACUUUGCAGACUUUUUCAUUUGAUUUUCUCCAAUAUAAUCAUUCACUGGCAUUAGGGUCAUACAAAACCAAAACCACUUUAAUCAAGACAGUUUAAAGAAAAGCAGCAGGACUGGUUCAAAUAGCUGUCAAAGUACAGGAUUUAUGCAAACUAAAUUAUGGAUACUGCCUGUCUAUGGUGUUUCUCUGUUACAAACUACCGAAGAAUAGGACAGGGAUAAUUUCUUUUAAACAUUUUACCAUAUGCAUUACCAGAGAGGUCCUUGCUUUGUGACUUAAACUGGAAGAACUUACAGGGUUAGA